UCUCACGCAGCUCAGCUUCCCAUCCUCUAGGAGCAUUUUGUUUGUUUGGCUCUUCAAUACAACUGACUUCUUAGAAGACCCGUCCUUCCCAGGGAAUUCACUAAUCAAGAUUUCUAUGAAUGCUGAAUCCACUGAUGACAUCUCAGACAUUAUUGAGAGGAUGCGUUCUGAAGCACUAACGGUUCUCAGUGGAAUCCACUGGCUUCUGGUAAGAGGACAUCUAAGGAGAGUGAUGGGAUGCCACCUGAUGGAAAUGUCUAUGCUUUUUGACUGAGAAAAUGAUGUAUUUACUGCAUACAAAGAGUGAGGUUUAUCUUUCUCUCUGCUUGAAAUACAAGUCUACCACCAGCUUACACUAAAAGCAAAAUUUUGAGAAGUUGGCUGAACUUUCUCCUGAUCUCAUGAUGCAGAGUUUGAGCUUAUACUACUACUCCAAACAUGGCCAUCUGUUGUGGGAAAUCAGUGUGGUUUCAAAUAAGUCCUUUUGAAGCAUGGGAAUCCAGUCAAGGAGACAGAAGAGACCACGACAAAACAUGUAGCUGUGGUAGCCAAAGAGCACUAAGAAAAACAGCUCAACCUGCCUGAGGGAAGAUUUUUGUUAAAGA